GGACGAACGCUGGCGGCACGCUUAACACAUGCAAGUCGAACGGAGUUGUUGGAGCUUGCUCUGAACAACUUAGUGGCGGACGGGUGAGUAACACGUGAGCAACCUGCCUUUGAGAGUGGAAUAGCUUCUGGAAACGGAUGGUAAUACCGCAUAACAUUAACGGACCGCAUGAUCUGUUAAUCAAAGAUUUAUCGCUCAAAGAUGGGCUCGCGGCUGAUUAGAUAGUUGGUGGGGUAACGGCCUACCAAGUCGACGAUCAGUAGCCGGACUGAGAGGUUGAACGGCCACAUUGGGACUGAGACACGGCCCAGACUCCUACGGGAGGCAGCAGUGGGGAAUAUUGCACAAUGGGCGGAAGCCCUGAUGCAGCGAUGCCGCGUGGAGGAAGAAGGUUUUCGGAUUGUAAACUCCUUUUAUCAGGGACGAUAAUGACGGUACCUGAAGAAAAAGCUCCGGCUAACUACGUGCCAGCCGCGGC
rnacentral:rRNA from 1 species